GAAAUAUAAAGCCAAGAAAAUAAGCUUCUAACUUAAAUUCUAGUGGUUAAAUUCCAUUAAUAUUUCU
rnacentral:tRNA from 1 species